AGGGUGAUCGGCCACAUUGGGACUGAGAUACGGCCCAGACUCCUACGGGAGGCAGCAGUAGGGAAUUUUGCGCAAUGGACGAAAGUCUGACGCAGCAACUCCGCGUGAGGGAUGAAUGCCUUCGGGUUGUAAACCUCUGUUGAGUGGGAAGAAAAAUUUUAUUGCUAAUAUCAAUAAAACAUGACGGUACCAUUCGAGGAAGCUCCGGCUAACUACGUGCCAGCAGCCGCGGUAAUACGUAGGGAGCUAGCGUUGUUCGGAAUUACUGGGCGUAAAGGGAGUGUAGGCGGAAAAGUAAGUUAGAAGUGAAAUGUAUCGGCUUAACCGAUAACCUGCUUUUAAUACUGCUUUUCUUGAGUAUGGGAGAGGAAGAUGGAAUUCCAGGUGUAGCGGUGGAAUGCGUAGGUAUCUGGAAGAACACCAGUUGCGAAGGCGGUCUUCUGGCCCAACACUGACGCUGAGGCUCGAAAGCUAGGGGAGCGAACAGGAUUAGAUACCCUGGUAGUCCUAGCCGUAAACGAUGGACACUAGAUGCUGGGAACGAUUAGUUUUCGGUGUCGAAGCUAACGCAUUAAGUGUCCCGCCUGGGGAGUACGCUCGCAAGUGUGAAACUCAAAGGAAUUGACGGGGGCCCGCACAAGCGGUGGAGCAUGUGCUUUAAUUCGAUGCAACGCGAAGAACCUUACCUGGUCUUGACAUGGGAGUGAAAGUCUCUAGAGAUAAAGACCUUCCCUUCGGGGACACUCUACACAGGUGCUGCAUGGUUGUCGUCAGCUCGUGUCGUGAGAUGUUGGGUUAAGUCCCGCAACGAGCGCAACCCCUGUCCUUAGUUGCCAUCAGGUCAAGCUGGGAACUCUAAGGAGACUGCCUGGAUUAACCAGGAGGAAGGUGGGGAUGACGUCAAAUCCUCAUGGCCCUUACGACCAGGGCUAGACACGUGCUACAAUGGGUGGUACAACGGGAUGCUAGAUCGUGAGGUUAAGCUAAUCCCUUAAAACCAUUCUCAGUUCGGAUUGGAGUCUGCAAUUCGACUCCAUGAAGUUGGAAUCGCUAGUAAUCGCGGAUCAGCAUGCCGCGGUGAAUACGUUCCCGGGCCUUGUACACACCGCCCGUCAAGCCAUGAAAGAUGAUAGUACCCAAAGUCGUUAUCCUAACCUUUUUGGAGGGAAGCGCCUAAGGUAAGAUCAUUAAUUGGGGCUAAGUCGUAACAAGGUA
rnacentral:rRNA from 1 species